CAUCCUAAUAUAAUAGGACUUAAAUUAUAAAUUACUAUGUUAUAAAAGCUUUAGUUUUUGGCUAAUUUUAGUUAUUUUAAUUAAAAAAUUUUAAUCAUUUAAAUAAAAAGACAAAAUUUAUUAGUCAUAAAUCUAAUAAUUGAAUGUAAUUAAAAUAAAGUCCAGGAAAAAUAUGUGCCAGCUUCAGCGGUAACACAUAUUAAGGGCAAAGCUACUUUAAAUCUUAUGGAAGCCUAAUUAAGACAAUUAAACAAAUAACUUAAAUUAUGGUCUAAUAAUAGAAUUUAAGUUAUAAGCUCCACAACUUAGACCGCAAUAACUUCAAAAUAAAAACUAGGAUUUGAUACCCUACUAUUUUGAAAAAAGAAUUAUAUCCAGAAGAUUAACAAAUAAAUUUAAAAUUAACAAACCCGGCUGUAUACUUCAAUAUUCAAAGAAAUUUGUCAAUUAAUUCGAUAAUCCCCGAAAAACUCUACUUAAGCUUGCAUUUUAUACAAACAUUCUCCAUACCGCCGUAUAGAUUUACAUUAAAAAAUAAUUAUCAAGGGUCUAACCACAUACCUCAGGUAAAGGUGUAGAUAAUGCUUAAGAUUAGAUGAAUUGCAUUUAUUAUUAUAUCAAUGGAUUUAGGUAUUCUUUAGGCUUAAAGAAAGGCUGAAAUCCCCCAAUAAAUUUGGAUUUGAAAGUAAUUAAUCUUUAUAAAAGUUUAAUGAAUUUUAAUAGGUAUAAGUACAUAUCGCCCGUCACUCCCUUAUAAAUAAGGGAUAAGUCGUAACAAAGUAAGUUUACUGGAAAGUGAACUUG
rnacentral:ncRNA from 1 species